UUUCCCUCGUCAUGCAGUAGUGACCAUGAGGGGAAUUGGGCACUGCAACGAUUCGGUGCGAGCUCGGGGAUGGGAACGUCCUUCUCCGGCGUCCAUCUCCAUCACCGGUGGGAUUCUCUCUGGUAAGAUCUUCCUCCCGUACCUUUCCCUUUCCUCCUCCAUGAAUUUCUAAUUUUUUAGGGUUAGGGUUCUUGAUUUUUUGGGAACGGGGCUAAGAAAGAGGAAGAAGUACAAGAAAGGAGAUGAAUGAAAAGAGGGAGCUUGCAUACUGAAGGGGGUGAUGGAGUAGACCUUCGCUCAGAUGUGAGAUCAAUUCGAGGAGGGGAUGAUCAUGCAGGAGGAGAAGAGGACGAGCUCAACUCUGCGGAGGAACAACACUAGAGUAUCUUCCAAGAUUCAGCCCUGUUUCUUGACAUUUUUUUCUAUUUUGGAUGAAUUGUUCCUUAUUUCUUCUUUGGAGCUCCACUGCUACAAAAAAAGGAGCAAUGCCCAGCCGUUUUCACUUGGUGGAGUUGGGAUGCUGCUACUAUAUUAGGAUGGUCAUCCCAUCAUUGUGAAUCUGCCCUGUUGCAGAAUAAGGCGCAGAAGGAAACCAGAAAGGGCAAAGCACAAGAAAGUGUGAAAAUAACAAGCCACACACUGUGAGCAACUAAGAAUCACUCCCAAAAAUAAGCACAAAUCAUUGAAGCCCAAGUAAUUGUGAUCUUAAUGCACAAUGUCAUUGACUUCCUGAUAGGGAGUAUAACGUUUUGUUAGAUUUCAAGUCCAUCAAACCACUGUCAUCAGGGCUGAUCAUACCUCUAAAUAGAAAGAAAUGUAAACCUUUGGAUUCAAUGAUCUUGCUAAAGGAUACAAAUGUGUCUUUUCUUAAAUGUAAGGUAUUUGAUGGCUCCAUUUGGUCAAAAAUUUCUUCCCCUGUUUCAUUACAUAAUUUGUAGAGAAAUCAUGGUGCUUAGCAUACUUCUCUUGCCUUCAAAGUUCAAUUUCUAAGACAAUGGAGAUGUCAUGCCUUGUUUUAUUAGGAAUGAUGCAUCCAGAAAAACGUUCUCAUAUUAUGGAACAGAGGGAAUAUUUGUGAUAUAUCCCUGUAGGCAACGGAUAAUGUUAGUUUCCAGUAGUGCCAAUUGGCUCCUAUCUGAACUUUAUUUUUGAGAUGCACUUCCAUGUCUGUGAGACCAAUUCCCUCUGUCCCAUAACAGACCUAUCUUUUACCAUAUUUGCUAUUAAAUGUAGUUUUUCUAAAUUCAGGGGAACGAUGUAUGCAAAGAGUGUGACAUCAUACACCUUCAGGUGAUGCCUAUAAGUUACCUGAAUAGUUUAGGACUUCCAUCAUUUUACUUUGACAAUAAUACUUCCUGAGUUCACAAAUUAUAUAAUAUGAAAACUUGCAACAUCCAAUGCUUUUAGUUGAACGCACAUUCCAUCAUAUAUUUCUAAGCUAACAUGUUAUCAUUUUUAUGGCAGGCGCACUGACCUAGAAUAGCGUAAGAAUGACCACUCAACUAGCUAGUGUUUGAAACUUCAAUUCCAUGUAGAGAUACCCAACCCAGCAAUUUGAAGUCUCUUUUUUCUAUACAAAUAAGUCUCCCCGGCUCCAUUUUAUUAAAAAUCAAAGCACAGGGAUUCUUAUUUCUUACAAUAUGUGCAGAGUACAGCAGUGUACUACGUCAGUAAAAAGAGGUAAACCUUGCCUGGAGUCCAAAACUACAAGAUGUCGGAUGACGAAAAGAUACACGCUCCUUGCACCAUAGCAGAUAGAUGAAUAUUAGCACACUGGUAUUGCCACAUUUAGUCAGGCUGAUUUAUCAAAAGCGAAUGAUAUUGGAUUCUGUACCCCAUCAAUUAUGGAGUUAUGGUAUCAGUUUUUGUUCUAACUUCUCAUGAAUACACAUCAAUUAUGAAUUGAUUUUAUUAGCAAAUGGAUACUAGCCAGCAAUUUUAUUUCAGUUAUGAAGAUGAUGUUAUUAUUUUCUAAUGCAUGCUACCUGCUGAUCAGGUGGGUCCACCUCCAGCCACACAAGUAUUAUUUCUAAUGGACGAAGAACUACAUCUUCAGUUUAAGCAGUAAGAGCCGUAUUCAGGUUAUAUACAUGAUCAGAGACAAUUUUAUUCAUGAUAUAGCCUGAUUUCAGACCGCGGUUCUUAAAUAUGGUUUGGCAAGAUUUAGGAAGCAGAGUUUGGCCUUUUAUAUUUUUCAUUCAUACCAUGCAUCCGGCGUGUUAUGGGUUCAUGUGAUUCCGAUGAAUUUGGUACAUCCGAAAUCCAUCUGUGAUGUCUUUGAUUUCAACAUUGUUUCCAGUUUUAGGUUUGCGAAGCCUAUUAACCGUUCAAGUGUUAUAUGUGCUUGUGUGUUGGUACACUUGUGAGAAAAUAUUCUGUUUGUCAGGUAUCUGUUCAAGCGGAUGAUGGUUAAUGUACGAGGGAUAGACAUUAACGUCUCCGUAUCUAUGCUCAUGGAUAGUAAUGUUUCAGUCGCUGGAGAGCUUGCUGAACAGAUGAAGUUGACGUAAAAUCUCUGGUCACCUGCAAAUUUAGCUCCUUGAAGAUCAAGUUCAGCAGUAGUCAGUUUCAAGUUUGGUAGUAUUCAGUUUUGUAAUACAGUAGUGAUUUCUGAAUUUUUCAUGCUGCUGGUUACCAAGCUAAGUAGCACUCAAUUGUGUCCAAACGAAUUUUAUUUGUAAUUGUGAGGAUGGUUUUUAUUAUGUGAGAUAAUUAGCAGAACCACAACACAGAAUCUAUUUAUUAGACCA